AUCUCACCAGCCUCCUCCAUGCCAGGCUCGGGCUCUUCCUGCUCCUGGAACAAGCUCCGGACUCGGGGCAUUCGCCGCAGAUGCUGCAUCUCCGAAGCUCUCGGCUGGUAGAGAGCAGCCGCCACAUGCUCUGGGGCGGCAGGGCUGAGCUGCCAAGAGCUCCUGGCCAUGACCUUGGUGCAUGGAGUCCAGAGGGGGCUGGGGAAGACCUUCUCUUCACACUCGAGGAUGCACACCUGCAAAGAUACGGGUUUCGAGGUGGGACUAACCCAGGAAGAUGCUACCAACGUAAGAUGGUCAACUGUGGUGUCUCUCACUUGAGAGUCCAAGGGUAUCAGCUGGCAGAAGCACACCCAAUGGCAUGGAAACUUCCAGCAACUUCUCACAGAUUCCACCCCCUGGCCUCCCUGCAAGAGGCAGACGUCAUUGUGAAUUUUGUGUUUGUUACUCCCUAUGUACAUGUAUCGUAAAUACCAUUUUGCUUGGUUGAUAUUUAUAUUUGCUAUUUUAAGCUUCAUAAAUCACAGGCAGCAAGCCUGCCUGUCCAUUCCAGAAGGAGACAUGGUCUUCAUGAUACUGCACAGCAUGCGCACCUGACUUGCUCUGGAAGGAGAUACUCUGUCUACCACAGGUUUUCACCGUACAGACAUCCUUGAAAAGAUACCCCGGAAGUAAGGGCUCUUUCUCAAGAUGUGCAGGACUUGAGCAGCUCAUGGGUAAGUGUCUGUCAACAGGAAUUCAUCAGCGAGCUACACAGGCCCGACCUCUUCUGCUCUCUGCAAGCUGACAUUUUAGUUGGGGAGACCGGACUUUGCAUAAACAAACUCAACAGACUGUCUUUAGUGCACUGAAGGAGUUAACAAAAGCAUCAAUGUGAGACUUUUUCAGGAAAACAUGACUAAGAUGG
rnacentral:lncRNA from 1 species